GGAGUCCAUAUUGAACGUAGGUGGAAGCUACAGAAACCCCCCAACAGACAGCCAGAUCCACUGCCCCGCAUCAAAUCUCCAGAGAGAGUCAGCCAGAACUCCCAAAACUUUCUGUCUCUGUGUCUAAGAGUGCCGCAAGACAACAGACUAUGAUGGAAAUCAAAUUGGAUAUUAACACUCCUGCCGUUCAUCCAUUCAAAGAAACUGCACAGAUGUUCAGCCGAUCCCCUCCAAAUUAGAAACACAU